GGCCUGUUGGCGUAAUGGUAACACAUUCCUAUAGCAUUCGUAUAUCGGUUGACGGAAGGUUCGGAGUUCGAUUCUCCGUCAAGCCA